GGUCAAGCUACAAAGGGCUCACGGAGGAUACCUAGGCACACAGAGGCGAUGAAGGACGUGGUUACCUGCGAUAAGUCUCGGGGAGUUGGAAGCACACUUUGAUCCGGGAAUUUCCGAAUGGGGCAACCCCUUGAACGACCAACUGAAUAUAUAGGUUGGUGCGAGCUAACCCAGCGAACUG
rnacentral:rRNA from 1 species